GCGACGGCUGCCGUGAUGACCGUACGCGCGCCAAAUAUAAACGAAUGCAUUGAUGCAACACGAGGGAAGUUAGACGCAACACAUUGUCUUAUUUAUAGACAAACUAGCAUUAACAACGCUAUUAUGAGAAGAAAUAAGUACCAUAUGAUGUGAAAGUGCAACAGUUAGAUCGAUAACUCCAGGAAACGUAAAUCUGACCGUGAAAUCUGUGGUUGCGGAAAGACGCCAUAUUGAUUUGUGACUGAAUAAAAUUGUUUGCAUUUCAAACUAAAAAUAUUGGUUAAAUACCAGUAACAGUAGGAAUUCUUAACAAUGUGUAUUCAUAUUUGGUGUUGUUAUUCAGUUAAAUGUGAUUAUCGCUGCAAUGAACCUGUUUAAAUGUUGUAAAUAAAAACGUCUACAUGCAGAAAAAGCUAAUAGGUACUUUAAAAAAUAUAAAUAUUAUUAAAUAAUUAAACCAUGUUAGUGUGAGAAAUUUGAAUUUUAAUAGAAUAAUUGAAUAGUAGUAAUAUAAUUACUUAAUAAUACAAUGUUGCUGUGCUAUAUUCCAAAGAAACCUUUGUUAAAAAAUGACAAAAUAUUUUUGUUUUCCCUAAUAAAGUGGGUGACGCUGAUGUGGAUAACAAGAAUAUGAAAAUUGAAACAGUGCAGUCAAACGUAUCAUUCGAUCAGAGAUUUCCACGGAGCAGAGUGCAGUAGAGCGGAGGCGUGAAGUGGAAUAAAAUGCCUUCGGCGUAUAGUUAGGACACAACGAUGUUCGUGAUCUACCACCAGUGGGCAUCAGAUGGGGGAAGCACCACAAAUCUAGGAGAUUUGGUCUUGGAUUUGGUCGUAAAUGUUGCGUGUUGCAGUUUUAUUAACCACAAACUUUACUAUUUUUAUUGGUUAUUUUCCCUUCGGCCACAUUGGAAACUAUUGUUUUUUUUUACAUAGAAAUAGGUAUCUGGUUUAAUACUACUACUAUACUAUGAAUUAAACUACUUACUAUUAGAUGGAAAUCUAAUCUAUAUCUAUAGGUAAUCUAUAGGGUAGAUGACAAGGUCAGAAAAUCGUAAAAAAUUUUGCAUAGUCUAGAUAAUAUAGAUAUAUAUCUUAGAUCAUUGAUAAUUUAUAGACUGUAACAAUGCAGCUGGAUCAAUACGUAGAUUUGAAGUUGAUUAAAAAGUCAAUUGAAAAGUCAAAAUCAUCGUUAAAAACCUGAAAUUUUAUAACAACUUUUAUUAAUAAGUCAUUAAUGCAAUAUUUAAGGUAGCUACCGCCGAACACUUUUUCCCUUUGAUAUUUACUCUAAUUUUACGUCACGUUUUAGUCUCAUUUAAUAUGGAGGAUUUGGGCGACUGUAAAGAUAUGUAAUUUUAUUUUUGUCAUAUCUUUGAAAGCAUUGUCAUAUCACAAAAUAAUUUCUCUUAGUAUUUUCUUCACAGGUAUCUCUAAUAAUGUAAGGGCCUUCGAUUAGUCACUAAAAUAAAAACAAAAUGGCAUCUACCCUAUUCUGUUGUGUUAUUAUUGCUUUUUCUAAAGGCUGCUGCGAUCUGCUUCAUUCGAGUCAAUAAAAGAGAGUAACAAAGCAUGUUACGCGUCAAUAAGUCUCUCUAUUAUCUCUCUUUACGUACUUAGCUCCUUUACGUUUCAAUUCAUUCAUUAAACAGUAAUUAGUAUGAUUAGUAUCCUCAUUCAAUAUAAUUCAGUUCUAAGAUAAUAAUCAUUUGAUAUAAAAUUACAUGUUUACGAGUAACUAUAUAUCUCGGUGAAUGAGACUUUUCUCAAGUAUUAAUUUAAUUCUCAACAAAUUUCAAAAAUUAUGAUCAUUUACGAUGCGAUUUUCGUCUUCGGCCAUCCACACCUUCUGGCACUUUAUUUGGGGCCGGGUCUCCUUGUACAGACGACAGCGUAUCAACCUACCCAAAUUCAUUGCAAACUCUCCGCUAUUACCGCGCCAUAGAGGUUCAUGCAUGGUAACUCGAUGUGCUGUUGAAUGUACAUUUGCGCCAGUUGUCUAUUCCGGCUUGUCUGGGAAUUGAUGUACUUAACGCGAUAUAGCAAACUAACUUUCAACUAUUAGAUUUAGCCACACUCUCUCUAUAUCGCGUGUUCCCAGCAUUCGCAGCUGUGAUGCGGUGAAGCCCGGGGUAUAUCAUCAUAAAAAUAUACAUGGAAAUUUGAAAGUUUUCCAACCAGCCGGCUGUCUGAAGUCGACCCUCCUUAGAAAUGUUAUUGUUCCUUAUCAGCUACAAGGCUUUGUGUCCCUUAACACUGGGCUUCUAAUGGACUGGACUGCGAAUCUAUCCGCACAUUAGUGCCACCAUAACAUUUUUAUAUAUUGUUUUAAACACGAAAACCACGCGACAUCAAAAAAAUACUACAGAAUACUCUACAAGUUUUCUUACAAGUUUUAUUAUGUUAAAUCGCAACAUGUAUUUUUAUGAUUCUAUAGCAAUAGCCACUGCCGACGGACAACACUGACUCGCUCGUAUAGAUAGAUUUUAACGCAUGUUUGACCUCAAUUAAAUUUGUCCCAAAAUGUUAACUCUCGGUGGAUCAAAGGCAAGUUUAAAACUAAGUGUAAAUUAUUAAACACACUCCGAGCAUUAGGGUCUUAUUAUUAUUUUACUUUGACACCUGAUUCUGAACGCUUUUCAAGGGCACAACGUCAAAAUAGAUAAGGGAAAAAGGGGGUUAGAUACAGGAUUUAUUUACAUCGUACCCUUCGGCCUACCAUACGGCUUCGAUGCUCAAUUGCUGUGGAAGGAACCAAGAACACGAUCAGACGGGAGACCAAUAAGGAAUUUAUUUCAGUUCGUAUCCAAACUAUUUGUUCCAAAUUCCUAAAAAUUCUUAGUUUGUCCGGAUUGAGGUGCUUCAUCUGAAAAUACUGCAUUCAAAAUUCAUUUCAGCCUAUUUCAAGCACCAGUCUUCGCAAAAUAUCUAGCUUAAGGUUUGCGUUAUGUUUUAAGUUACUUGUAUGUAUAUUUUGUGAGGAAAUAAAUAAUUUUUACUCUUAAAAUACAUAAAAAUGUAGCCAAGGGCUGUAAGGCAUCAAUUGCAGCCCGAGAUAUUUAGUUUUUUAGAUAGUUCGAGGGUGCAAUUGACGCACCCGACUGACCCUACUGAUUUAACUACUCGACAGAGUUAACUAUUCUGCUUUAUAUCUCGAUUGUGAGGUAAGUAAAAAAAAACCCGGCGUUCCAUUCUUGUAAAACAUUUUAUUACUUAGUUAAAAUUUACUGUCUUCUAUUCCCGCCUUUUCUCAUUAAAAAGAACCAAGUAAAUAACUUAUUAAUUUUUUUAUUGUUCAAAAACGAAACUGAGCUUCGCCGUUCGAUACCUAUUUAAAAUUGUUUUUUAUUUGAAUACGAAGACAAGGCUGAAUUGCGAAGCGACCUCUUUGGUCAUUGAGCUGAAUGCAUGAUAUCUAUUGCCAGUAUGAUGUGAAGUGGUUUUUUUUUUAAUUACUUACCGCCCUAGGCCUUUUUUAGCAUUUAUUACCCUGGAACGCUAAUUGGUCACAUUGUCCAUUGGGCUACAAGCCCCAUUUGGGGUAAUAAAUAAAUAAAUAAUAAAUAUAUAAAUAAAUAUAUUAGGACAAAACACACAGAUUGAACUAGCCCCAAAGUAAGUUCGAGACUUGUGUUAUGGGAUACUAACUCAACGAUACUAUAUUUUAUAACAAAUACAUAUAUAGAUAAACAUCCAAGACCCGGGCAAAUCAGAAAAAGAUCAUUUUCCAUCAUGACCCGACCGGGGAUCGAACCCGGGACCUCUCGGUUCAGUGGCAAGAACCUUACCACUACGCCACCGAAUAUGAAAGAUGUAAACAAAAUUUAGUAAUAAAAUCGGUGUAUUAAAUAUUAUAAAUGUGGCCUAAUUAUUUCCUAAUUUAUCAACCAAUAGAGAAUACUUCCUCGGUGGCGUAGUGGUAAAGUGCUUGUCUCUGAACCGAGUGGUCCCGGGUUCGAAUCCCGGUCUGGUCAUGAUGGAAAAUGAUAUUUUUCUGAUUGGCCCGAUAUGUAUUUGUUAUAGAAUAUAGUAUCGUUGAGUUAGUAUCCCAUAACACAAGUCUCGAACUUACUUUGGGGCUAGCUCAAUGUGUAUGAUUUGUCCUAUUAUAUUUAUUUAUUUAUAAUAACACAAUUGUCAUCUGUGAAACUAUAACUGAAACUGGCAUACUGUUAAGUUCACUUGCGUGACAUUGACGCCUUCACGUAUUGCCAAUUAAGGUCUACCACUAAUGUAUCAGUGUAUUCACACUAUGAAUUAAUAGGUACACCAUGAUUUACUUACACUGAAUUGACAAUGGCGUUUGAUCAACGAUUCAAUUUACGUAUUUGAUGUGACUACAUGAGCCGUGACAGGCAAAAUUGAAAGACUUGCGACGCAACGUACCUAUAGUGUCUAUAGGAUAUUCCUAUUCGGAUUCCUAACCAAAUGGUCGAAUACGAAGCAUUCUUAGCGCUAUAUGCGCCAUUGUUCUGUAGAAUUAAAAAAAAAAACUAUAGAAUUAUAAUACUAGGGCCCUAUGUGGUAAAAAUUACAAGUCGACAAUUUUGAAGGAAAGUGAGACUAUGCAGAGUUAUUGACAAAUUAUAUUUAACAAAUCUUACACGUAGGGAUUUUACGAUCAUUACAAAUAUGUGCAUUAAAAAUGCAGUUUAAGAAACAUAUAUGUAUUUUUUCUUAUCAUCUGACAACUGGCAUGACAGUUUUCCCACUAAGUAUACUAAAUAAGUCCGUAAUAAACACUGUCUAUCUAGAACCCUCGUGUCGCUUUCGAGCUGUAAGUUACAAAUAUAUAAAAUGUAAGUUUGAGUUGAAGUGAUGUAGAAGAUAUAUAUUUAAAAAAUGGUAAGCCCUUCUGGCAUAAUAGGGACCAACACUUGACUGUUUGAAUGAGUUUCUUUCGGCAUUUCUUCUCAGCAGUGGUCGUUCCGAAAUGCUAGUAGUUUGUAGCUUUGGUGAUGACGUGAAAAAGUGCCUGUGAAGGCCUAAUUUCUGAAUAAAUUAUUUGAUUUUGAUUUUGAUUCGAAACAUUCUUCAAAAAGUUCUAAUAUGUGAAAUUCUUAUUUCAAAUAUUUCCGAUUUGGUCAGAACAUUUGUUUUAAUGUUAGAGCGUCGUGGUAAUCUAUUUAAUUAAAAUGACACGUCCCCUUGUCAUUUUAAUUAAAAGUACAAAAAAGUAACAAAGUAGUUGGAAUUAAUUUUUAAAAAAGACAUGAAUUCGAUAAUAAAUUUAAUAAUUUCAUCUCUGUAACGACAUCCACUAUUUGUACAAUUCUAUAAAAUAUCAUUCAAAUUUGACUACACACCAUCCCCGUAUUCUAUCUACAUUAACAAAUCUAUCACUGUAACCCUCGACUUAAACAGAAAAUUACAAUUUGUAAUCUUUAUUAAAUAGGUCACUCACAGAUAUAAAUUGUAUUAAUUUGUCAAAUGUGUCAGGAUCUCAGGUAAUAUUGUAUGUACUGCCAUCUGGUAAAAUUAAAUCGUAGGAAAUCACUACUGAAGCAUGCACUGAAGAGAAAACUGCAGUGAACUAAAUAUUCCCUCACACUACCGGCGAACUCAGACAGAUGCCGCCAUACAGCAAUUUGAUGCAACAAAGUACGGCAAACUGUUUGCCGAUAGGGUGGAGAACUAGAAAUGCAUUCGCAAAUUUUGUUUACAACGCCAUCUGUUGGGAUUAAAUCUUACCUUAUUUUAACUAUUAGAUGAGACACUAGGUAGCAAAACUAACCGCCUAUAGUGCUUAUAUUACCGACUGGUAAACAAGGUUGAUAUGCCCUAUUUAUUAAAAUAUUUACACUUUAGUUAAUCAGUGUCUUUCCACAUUAUAGAUGCAUUAUGUAAUUAAUAGUUUUUAAAUAAAUUAACAUGUAAUGUGCAAAGAUAACUAAACAUAACACUUUACUUUUACAUAUUUGAAAUUCCAUGAAAAAUAUUACGCGUUUUCUUUUUGAGGCAUAAGUAAAUGGUAGGCGAAAGCUACAGAUUCAGGUAGGUAUAAUGCAAAUUUUGUCCCAAAUUUCACAUUGCAGCGAAGUCGCCAUCCAUAGCCAGUCAUAGUCAAGCCGACAUUCUGCCGAGAGCCCUUCAUUUUAAUUCACUCGUUGGAUAUUUUAAUGGGUUGUUUUAAUUACUUUGAAGGCCGCCAUUUUGAAGUAGGUCCUUUGAAGUCCCGACGCGUGAUUGUUGUGCUUUUAAUUUUAAUUUGUCCUGAGACUUAAAGGCCCUUUCGAGUCAAGGGAGGAAUUUUAAUUGCAUUUCGUAUGUAUAUAAAUUCUUUGAAAGGUUCACACACGUUGUUCUGUCAGGAAAAUACGUCUGACUUUUGAAUUGAAAAUGGAAAAAUGAAGAUCAACUUUUAAUUUUGAUUCUUUUGGUUCUAUCGCUAACUAGAUUUGCAGCAUUUUUAAGUUACAAUAUUUUUUGUUCUUAACGUACAUUAAAAGUAAAUAAUUCAUUAUACCAUAAAAAUAUAGAGGAAAACAUAAAAGAAAAGCUUGAAGGUUUAAAUACAAAGGCGAAUUAGUUAAUUGUGUUUAAGUAAACGUACUUAGAUCGAGUCCGCAAUAUCAGUUACAAUAAAUGCACUAAUUUUAAAAUUAUCGUUUAAUUUCUAUUAAGAUUCUUCAUUAAGUUUAUUAUUAAAUACUAUUUCAUUCGUCUGAAAUGUAAUUUGUAAAGCGAUAUCUAGUAGCCAUAUUUAACAAUUCAUUUAUUGCACCACAGG